CGAAGCAGCUCUGUACAGACGGUGCCGGUGAAACGUUGUGCGGAGC
rnacentral:ncRNA from 1 species